AACGCUAGCUACAGGCUUAACACAUGCAAGUCGAGGGGCAUCUGGAAGAAAGCUUGCUUUCUUUGCUGGCGACCGGCGCACGGGUGAGUAACACGUAUCCAACCUGCCCUUUACUCGGGGAUAGCCUUUCGAAAGAAAGAUUAAUACCCGAUGGCAUAAUGAUUCCGCAUGGUUUCAUUAUUAAAGGAUUCCGGUAAAGGAUGGGGAUGCGUUCCAUUAGGUUGUUGGUGAGGUAACGGCUCACCAAGCCUUCGAUGGAUAGGGGUUCUGAGAGGAAGGUCCCCCACAUUGGAACUGAGACACGGUCCAAACUCCUACGGGAGGCAGCAGUGAGGAAUAUUGGUCAAUGGGCGCUAGCCUGAACCAGCCAAGUAGCGUGAAGGAUGAAGGCUCUAUGGGUCGUAAACUUCUUUUAUAUAAGAAUAAAGUGCAGUAUGUAUACUGUUUUGUAUGUAUUAUAUGAAUAAGGAUCGGCUAACUCCGUGCCAGCAGCCGCGGUAAUACGGAGGAUCCGAGCGUUAUCCGGAUUUAUUGGGUUUAAAGGGAGCGUAGGUGGACUGGUAAGUCAGUUGUGAAAGUUUGCGGCUCAACCGUAAAAUUGCAGUUGAUACUGUCAGUCUUGAGUACAGUAGAGGUGGGCGGAAUUCGUGGUGUAGCGGUGAAAUGCUUAGAUAUCACGAAGAACUCCGAUUGCGAAGGCAGCUCACUGGACUGCAACUGACACUGAUGCUCGAAAGUGUGGGUAUCAAACAGGAUUAGAUACCCUGGUAGUCCACACAGUAAACGAUGAAUACUCGCUGUUUGCGAUAUACAGUAAGCGGCCAAGCGAAAGCAUUAAGUAUUCCACCUGGGGAGUACGCCGGCAACGGUGAAACUCAAAGGAAUUGACGGGGGCCCGCACAAGCGGAGGAACAUGUGGUUUAAUUCGAUGAUACGCGAGGAACCUUACCCGGGCUUAAAUUGCAGUGGAAUGAUGUGGAAACAUGUCAGUGAGCAAUCACCGCUGUGAAGGUGCUGCAUGGUUGUCGUCAGCUCGUGCCGUGAGGUGUCGGCUUAAGUGCCAUAACGAGCGCAACCCUUAUCUUUAGUUACUAACAGGUUAUGCUGAGGACUCUAGAGAGACUGCCGUCGUAAGAUGUGAGGAAGGUGGGGAUGACGUCAAAUCAGCACGGCCCUUACGUCCGGGGCUACACACGUGUUACAAUGGGGGGUACAGAAGGCAGCUAGCGGGUGACCGUAUGCUAAUCCCAAAAUCCUCUCUCAGUUCGGAUCGAAGUCUGCAACCCGACUUCGUGAAGCUGGAUUCGCUAGUAAUCGCGCAUCAGCCACGGCGCGGUGAAUACGUUCCCGGGCCUUGUACACACCGCCCGUCAAGCCAUGGGAGCCGGGGGUACCUGAAGUACGUAACCGCAAGGAUCGUCCUAGGGUAAAACUGGUGACUGGGGCUAA
rnacentral:rRNA from 1 species